rnacentral:rRNA from 1 species
GACGAACGCUGGCGGCGUGCCUAACACAUGCAAGUCGAGCGAAUGAAGUUCCUUCGGGAAUGGAUUUAGCGGCGGACUGGUGAGUAACACGUGGGCAACCUGCCUCAUAGAGGGUAAUAGCCUCCCGCAAGGGAGAUUAAUACCGCAUAAGAUUGUAGUACCGCAUGAUACAGCAAUUAAAGGAGCAAUCCGCUAUGAGAUGGGCCCGCGGCGCCUUAGCUAGUUGGUGAGGUAAUGGCUCACCAAGGCGACGAUGCGUAGCCGACAUGAGAGGGUGAUCGGCAACAUUGGGACUGAGACACGGCCCAGAAUCCUACGGGAGGAAGCAGUGGGGAAUAUUGCAAAAUGGGGGAAACCAUGAUGCAGCAACGCCGCGUGAGUGAUGACGGCCGUCGGGUUGUAAAGCUCUGUCUUAAGGGACGAUAAUGACGGUACCUGAGGAAGAAGCCACGGCUAACUACGUG